rnacentral:tRNA from 1 species
GCGCCCGUAGCUCAGCGGAUAGAGCAGCUGCCUUCUAAGCAGACGGUCGUAGGUUCGAUCCCUACCGGGCGCACCA